rnacentral:lncRNA from 1 species
CAGCUAUUUUGAAUUGUCAGUUAGACCUCAGUAUUCCAUGCCUUUGGGUUCAGUUGCUGGAAUUAUCAUUUUCUUUUUUUAUGUCAUAUUUCCUUGAUUUUUUGUAGUGUUUGAGGAUAUGCAAUUCUACUUUCACAUUUGAAGUAGCAGUCCCCUUCUUUAACUAAGGAGCUGGAUUUUGAGGACUCCCUCAAGAGUGGCACAAGAGUUGGCAGCAGAGUAGAGGGAGGUGUGGGCUUAGCAUCUCGGGUAUGGGGAUGCUCAUGGGUCCAGUGGGGAGAUCCUCGAGCAGGGUACACCCAGAGGUCUGUGGGCAAGUCUCCUAUUGAAGUCCUGAAGCAGGCAGGAAGAAACAUGUUCCUUCAGUUCACUUUACUAUUUUGAUCUGCCUCCUUUCCUUUCCUCUCCCUCCCCCAAGUCAUGGAAGUCCUUCCUCAGAAAUCCAGGUGCUGCUGGAGAGAAACAAGUCUCCUGCUGCAACCCACACAACUGAUGCUGACAUCACUCUUGAAUCAUUUAUUUCAAUCAUGAAGACACCUGGAAACUACGGGAAACUCAUCUCACUUUGUUGUAGUACUGAUUGCUAUCAAAGGUUUGCAGUUUUUUACCUGAGUGUCCUGUUUAUUUGUGAAGAAGCUAAAUGACAGCCUGGUUCAUUUUUGAAUUUUGUACGAGGAGUAGAGUUCACAUGUAGUGCUAACUUAGAAUUCAAGAGAUAUUUUCUUCUUGGAUGUUUGUCUUAUUUUGACAAUAUUAAAGUUUUGUUAUGAACAGUG